GCCAUUUAUCAAAGUUCUUGACAAACCUAUACUCGGAUUCGACAACAUUUGAUUACAAUUCUCGGUGCCGUGUAUUGCUGCCGUACAGCGUAUCUGCAGUUUUUCAUUAAUUACAAUAUUGUUUGGUAUGGACAGUCCAUGGGAAACAUGUUACUUUUCACCGCCAACCAAGUAUCUGUAUCAAAACAGAAAAAAAACGUCCUAUCCGACCUUUCUAAAAAGCUCGUCCAAUUACUCUUAUUUUAGAUUCACUAUGUAUAAUGAUUAUUGGCAAAUCCGUUAUUACCCUAUAAUUACUACACUACAUAAUAGUAGUACGCUGGUCGAAUGCUUGACUCUGGUGUGAAAUGCGUGUUUAUCGCGGCGACAGUAAUAUCGACGGUAUAAUUUUCGAAAUAAAAGGGCCCGGCGCUAACACGUAUUAUUUUGCUCGAAAACACGCCUUACAGGGAAAUCUCUCGUGCCUAAUUGUAGAACGGUCUGUUUUCAAUGAUUUUUUUUUUUUUUUUUAUUUCCGUUGUAAAGCGAAAGACUUUCUAUAAAUGUAUUAUGUACUGCGGAUCGCGUUGAACUCUCCUUUUGUCAAUAUUAUCAUUUCAAACUUAUUUGCAACACGCGUUUUGAAAAAUAAGCAUCGAUGUUUACAUUUUAUUGUAUCAUAUCAUUGAAAAUCAAAUUAAAAAAAAAAAUCGAAAAUCUGUCAUUGAUGUAUACCGAUAGGUUAUAAGUCGACAGUGAGUUUCCAAUCUAUUUCCGACAAAUCGGUCGUUUUCGUCCGUAUCCUUUAAUGGGUAUUGAAUAUUGAGCGGGGUAAAAUGAUUUUGUCAUAGGGGGAGAUUAAUUUUUUUUUUUUUUUUUACAAAUAUUAUUAUUAUUGCGGUUUUUUUUUUUCUUAUUUAUCUACACAGUUUAUAGUACAUACAGGUAGGUACUAUACAAUACGUAUUAUAAAUACUAAUAGGUAAAAGGUCAAAGAGUUAAUCCCCCAGGUUAACCGACCCCCUCGGAUAUCAGAUUAAUAUAAAAAAUAAAGUCUUAUCUUUAAGGCGAUCAUUAUUUAAAAUUCAAAUUACAUAAAAUCGGAGUCAGUUUUGGAAAACCGGCACCAUUUAAAUUCGUAUAACUCGCGUGUGCAUAAUUUUACGACUCGUGUGCCAGAAUUCGGACGAAAUUAUAAAAAUCGUCCGACUAAUUUUUUAUUUUAUUAUUAUUAUUAUUAUUAUUUUUUGGCAAACUUUAUUACAUCGUCUUUUUUACUGUUUUUUUUUUUUACAGAAAAAUAAUUAUUACACGCAUACGUUAUACUACGGCCACGCGCGUUUGUAAACGAUUAUAAAAAAUGAUAUUAUUAUUUUGUACACAUUCGCGCGCAUUUACAUAUUAUUAUUAAUAUUACCGUAUUAUGCGCGCAAAUUUUUUUUUUUUUUUUUAUUGCUUUAUGUCCUUGACAAACAAAAGCGAACGUCGAACCGGUUUGUUGACAGUGGCAUUAAACCAACCGUUUACGGAAAGCGUCACUCUCGACUCGUACCACAUUUCAAGUAGGUAGGUGGGUAUACAACUGCAGUGUAAAAAUAUUAUAUAUUAUAUUCCCCGCAAGCUUUCUCUUUUUUCGUAAUGUAUUUUUUUUUUCACAUAAUUAUCAUUAUUAGCAGGUAUAGUCCCGACGACCGUUUUUUCAUACUCAAGUUAAGUGGCGGACCGGAAUUAUAUUUCAGACCGGGAAAUUGUAUUAUUUUUUUAUUUAUUUUUUUUUUUUGGCCGGCCAGGAGAAUUCAACCCAAAACAAAUGAUAGUAAAAUCCCCAAAAAACUUCCUAUAGACGUGAUACAACUCACAAUAAAUAUUCUGAGGUUUGAUCAAAAUUUAUGGUUUAGCUAUAGAUACUGAUUUUCAAUCAGGCCUUGGACGUAAAUAUCGGGCCAGAAUUCGCCAGGAUUCACUUCUCAGACCGUUAUAAUAAU